CAGCGAGGAAGGACCGCCCCCCUUCCUCGAAGGCUUCGGCAGGUGGAGGAGGGUCAGAUGGAGGGAAGCACAUCAAAAAGGAACGUCACCUGGCCAAGG
rnacentral:ribozyme from 12 species